UUCAGAGCAAAAUGCCUGGUCCCAUUUCCUCACCUCCCACUCAUGCUUCAACCCACCAGAAGAUUUCUGUCCCUGCUGUGCUACAAGAAAAGCCUUGUCAAGGAUAACCUGUACAUGUUCAAGUAUGAGGAGACUUCCUAUAACCCAUGGAGGGUGCCGUGUGUGCUGCUGUGGGCUUUGUUCCUGCCGGGAGACGGAGUGCUCUCUUUUGCCGUUUUUAAAGAGGUCCAUCUCAUCAGCCUCAGAUCACCAUCUACCACUGAGGCCCAGUGAAGCCAGCCUUCCUACGCCCAGUGAGAUGACCCUGGAAACAGACUGAUGCCAACCUGAAUAUAUGAACUUCUGGUGUGAUGUGAAUGAAAAUAUAUCUUGUUCACUGAGUUUGCUAUACAUUUAGUGUUUUUAUUUUGUAUUUGUUUAUUAUUAUUAUUAUUAUUAUUAUUAUUAUUAUCAUCAUCAUUAUUAUUAUUGUCAUCGUUAUCAUAUAGGUGUGUGUGCCACUGUGCAUGUGUGGAAGUCAGAGGACAACCUUCAUGGGUCAAUUCUCUCUUUCCUUGUGUCCUGGGAUUAAAUUCAAGUUUUCAGAAUCAGUAGCUGGUCCCGUUUUACCACCAAGUUAUCUUACUGGCCCAUACUAUAUAUUUUAAAAACCAUAUAUUGUAUAAAAUAUAUUAAGAAUGAUUAUUUUUUCUAUAUGUAUGCUUAUAUACAAAUACUUAAAAUAUAUUAUUUUUAUUUUUUAUGUGUAUGGGGUUUUAUCUGCAUGAAUAUAUAUCCCCAUCAGAAGAGGGUCUCAUAUACCCUGAAACUGGAGUUACAGAUGGUUGUAAGCUGCGACGUGGGUGGUGGGAAUUGAACCCAGGUCUUUUGCAAGAGCUGCAAGCCCUCUUAACUGCUGAGUCAUCUCCUUUUAUAUUUUUAUGAAUACAUUUUGGUUAAACUGUUAACACUUUGAACACUUGGGCCAAUCUAAGCAGAGUUUUGUUUUAUCUCCAACAAAAAUUUAUUUAGUGUGUGUGUGUGUUUGUGUGGGUGGGUGCACAUGUAUGUGCUGGGCACAUGCAUGAAUGUGUGCUUGUGUGUGGAGGCCACAGGGCCACCUGUCUCUACCUGUCCAGUGCUUGCCCAGCCUCUUUUACAUGGCCUCUGGGGACUGAACCCAGGUCCUCAGGCUUGUGUGAUGAACACUUUAUUCACUGAGCCAUCUCCUCCCCACAAAACUUUGUCCAAGUCAUCU
rnacentral:lncRNA from 1 species